GGUUACUAUAUGGCAACGUACCGGGACGCUAAAUCACUUGGCGGCACGGUUUUGCCGGUAGAGUGGUAACUAGCCACGGCCGAAGGCUCCAACCAG